UACAGAGGGUGCGAGCGUUAAUCGGAAUUACUGGGCGUAAAGCGCGCGUAGGCGGCUUUGCAAGUCGGGUGUGAAAUCCCCAGGCUUAACCUGGGAACUGCAUUCGAGACUGCAUUGCUAGAGUAUGGGAGAGGGAAGUGGAAUUUCCGGUGUAGCGGUGAAAUGCGUAGAUAUCGGAAGGAACAUCAGUGGCGAAGGCGGCUUCCUGGACCGAUACUGACGCUGAGGCGCGAAAGCUAGGGGAGCAAACGGG
rnacentral:rRNA from 1 species